UAUUUUCCUUUUUUUCCCUCAGCCGCGGUAAUACGUAUGUCGCAAGCGUUAUCCGGAUUUAUUGGGCGUAAAGCGCGUCUAGGCGGUUUGGUAAGUCUGAUGUGAAAAUGCGGGGCUCAACUCCGUAUUGCGUUGGAAACUGCCAAACUAGAGUACUGGAGAGGUGGGCGGAACUACAAGUGUAGAGGUGAAAUUCGUAGAUAUUUGUAGGAAUGCCGAUGGGGAAGCCAGCCCACUGGACAGAUACUGACGCUAAAGCGCGAAAGCGUGGGUAGCAAACAGG
rnacentral:rRNA from 1 species